CCCCCGCCGCUCUCGCCGGCGAUUGGGCUGCGUCAGGGGCGGGGCCGACGCUGAGCCGUCAGCGAUUGGGAAGGACAGCCGUCCAUCGGCCCUCCCUCGCCCGCCCCGCGCUCGCGGUCCCUUCCGGCGGAAGCGCGGGCGGGCGGCGCGCGGGCCAGAGCGGCUCCUAUUGUUGCUGUGUCAUAGGGGCGCGGCGGCGGCCCCUGGCGGCGGCGUCCGGAACAGCGCGGCGGGCGCCGACCGAGCCGGGGCGCGGGGGGCGUUGGAGUGCACACCCCCACCGUGGCGGGAGAGCUGGUGCACCUGUCGCAGACUCACGGCCGGAGCGACACGCCAGGUCCCAAGAUGUGCGGGAAACAGCCCUCACGUCAGGGGAUCUAGGACGCUGGGGCUGGGGAGGCCCGGCUUCGCGACCCCAGGGCUGUGUCGCCGAAUCACAGCCCUGGACGUGGGGGUCCAGAGUCAGCGCCCAAGACAGCAGCGGUGCUCGUCUGGGGGGCGAUGGAGAUGCCGCGCUGCCUCCCUGUUCCCCCGUGACACUGCUGGCGUGGCUGCCCCCGUUCUCCCCCGGGGGUCCCCCAUUCCCCUCUGAUGACAGUGCUGGCGUGGCUGCCCCUCACUGUCCCCUAGGCAGGUCUCCCUACUCCCCGAUUCUCCCCUGGGGGUCCCCCGUCCUCCCGUGAUGAGUGCUGGGGGCCCCCCACAUUCCCUCUGUGUGUGUGGUUCCCAGAGGCUAACGUGUGCUCACAACAGAAUGUCCCAGCGCGACCCGAUGUUCACAAGGACCGGGUGCCCUCCGUUUCCACCCUGUGCUCCGCUGGGACACAGUAACCACGCGGGGCACACCCACCCAGAGCCCCGGGCCCUCCCAGCCCGCACCAGAGACCCCUCCACAAGCAAGGCCACUCUGCACCAUGCUGCCUGACAGUUUGUCACCUGCGUGUCAGCUCUGUUAAGCUUUUCACAAAAAGGAUCAAAGUGGAAGGUGGUUUCGCUUCGAAGAUUUAUUCACGUUGACGCAGGUGAGUCUGAGAGAGUGAGCACGGGCAGGAGGACGGACGGAGAGGAUCUCCAGCAGAUUCCCCGAUUCCCCGCCGAGCGGGAGCCUGAUGUAGGGCUCGAUCCCAGGACCCCGCAAUCAGGAUGUGAGUCAAAAUCAAGAGCCAGGCAUCCAGGUGCCCCCGAAGGAAAACCACUUCUGUAUCCAUUGUUUUGUGAUCUAAAGACUCACCAAUUUUGCUUUGUUUUUGAAAACGUAGCUGUUUUUCAUUUAAAAAUGUUUAUGUUGAUAAAUAAUAAGCCUUUUACUUUUUAACUAGCAAAUACUUCCACUUCAUUUCAUUUCCUAGUAAAUGCCAACAGAGCAAACCACACACAGGAGCUCCCCGGGGCCCCAGAGACCACAUGGGAGAGGGGCAUGGCCCUGAGCCCACGACAGCAAGUGCCCUGCUGGUGACACUCAAGGACACCAAAGACAACAGUGGCUGCCCGAACACAGGCCAGCGGGCGGGAAGAGUCAGGAAAAGUUAAGAAUUGGCCACAGGAGGCCGCAGGGAAACCAAUGUUGGACCGGAAGAGCGUGGUUCCCCCCAGCCCGUGGCCUCGAGGGGCUCACUGGAGCACAUCCUCUCUUCGAGCUGGGGGCCUGUGUCUAAGGCUGGUUCCGUGGCUCGUGUGCAGGAAGGACAGUGGCCGCAGGCAGACGAGCGUGGCCAAGGCCCCUGGGUGUGCCCGCCCCUGACUGUGGGGUGCUGUGGGGGACAAGGCAGCGGGGUGAGUGGGUCCAGUGGCUCCUGCACAAGGGGUGGGCAGGGCACGGGGACCGUGGCGCCUGGACACAUCACCAAAGGGGCACAGCCAGCAAGAGGCACAGGAGCAGAGAGCCCACGCCAUUCUUCAUAAGAGAAACGCAAAUUAAAACACACCGAUGAGAAGGGCAGGAACCCCGAGAAGGGAGCGCGACGGGACUAAGUGCUGAGGCCGUGGCUGCCCGCACCUGCACGGUCCGCACGGUCCGCACGGUCCGCACGGUUCGGCAGCGGGGUUCCCACGAUCGUCUUUCUUUCCUUUUAACGAUCCUCUUUUUUCGGAGGGAAUGGUAGGUUUAGUCCCAAGGUGAGCAGGAAGUACCGAGUGCUCCCAUGCAGCCCUCCGCAGGCACCUCCUCCUGCCGUCAGCAUCCCCGCCGGCGGGCGCGCAUGUGACAGCCCACAGACCCGCGAGGACACGCAGUGUCACCAGUGGCCCAUCUCCCUGCCCGCCAGCUGUGCGUCUGGACUCACGCAUGACACGGACCCACCAUCACAGUGUCGCACGGAUACACAUGACGUCAAAUUCACCAUCUUAACCCUCAGUGAGCCGUUCAGUGACGGAAAUACACUCCACGAUGUUGUGCCGCAUCAGCAUCCUGUCACCUUUCGAGACACCAAGCCCGCCCCCUGUCCCUGUCGCCGCCAUCCUACUGCCCCUCGCGUUCUGACGACCCUCGUAUGUGACGUCGAUGGGAGUCCUGCAGUCUUUGUCUUUCCGUGAGGGGCUUGUCUCUCUGAGCGGGGCGUCCUCGAGGUCUGCCCACGUGGCAGCAGGUGUCUGGGUCCCCCCCACCCCGGCUGGCGUAGAGCACGUGGUAUUCAUCCGUCCAUCCCUGGCGGACCCGGGCAGCCCCCGUGACUCAGCAGUGGUGGGGAACACUGCUGUCGGCGUGGGCGGACAGACAUCUCUUCGGGACCUUGCUUUCCGAUGCUUCCAGCACAGCAGCACAGUGGGAUUUCCGGACCCUCUGGUAACACUGUGGGUAACGUUCUCCGGAGCUGCGAUCCUGUCUUCCACAGCAGCUGCCCUGCUUUGGAUUCCCGGCAGCAGCCCGUUCCGGCCUGACCGU